rnacentral:rRNA from 1 species
UAAGGAAUAUUGGACAAUGGAGGCAACUCUGAUCCAGCCAUGCCGCGUGAAGGAAUAAGGCCCUAUGGGUUGUAAACUUCUUUUAGACGGGACAAAACCCCUUUACGUGUAAAGGGUUGAUGGUACUGUCAGAAUAAGCAUCGGCUAACUUCGUUCCAGCAGCCGCGGUAAUACGAAGGAUGCAAGCGUUAUCCGGAAUUAUUGGGUUUAAAGGGUGCGUAGGCGGACUAAUAAGUCAGUGGUGAAAGCCUGCAGCUUAACUGCAGAAGUGCCAUUGAUACUGUUAGUCUUGAGUACAGUUGAGGUAGGCGGAAUGUGUCAUGUAGCGGUGAAAUGCUUAGAUAUGACACAGAACACCGAUUGCGAAGGCAGCUUGCUAAGCUGUAACUGACGCUGAGGCACGAAAGCGUGGGGAGCAAACA